rnacentral:lncRNA from 1 species
CCCUUCCUGCAUUACUCUCCAAACUGCAUUGCCUCAGGCUGGUAGGAAGCAACAGACGAACCCAGAGUGAGGGAGCGUCUACAAAACACCUGCCUCAAAAGUGUCACAGUCACGAAUGACAGGGAAAGACCAGGAAACCCACAGGCUGGGGAAGACUUCAGAGGCACAAGAGCAGGAUGCGCUGUGGGUCCUGGGGGAGCGCGGACAUUCGUGGAUAAUGGUGAAAUCUGAAGGAAGUCUGUUGUUUCGGUGACAACAUUGUACUCACGUUAAUUUCUCGGUUUUAAUAUUGUCCUUUGGGGAUGUGAGAUAAUAACAUCAGGGGAGCUCACGUGAAGAGUUUAUGGACAAUCCCUAGUAUGUUUGCAUUCUUUUGUGUAAAUCUAAAAUGAUUUUAAGGUAAAAAGUGUUUUUGUUUUUGUUCUGCUUUUGUUCUACUCAGGAGGCAGAGGCAGGAGAAUCGCCUGAACCCAAGAGGCGGAGGUUGCGCUAAGCCGAGACUGCCCCAUUGCCUGGGCAACAAGAGCGAAACUCUGUCUCAAAAAAAGAAAAAAAAAAAGCUUUUGUUAAAGCAUUUACAGUCCAUCACCUUAAGUGCAAGCACAUCGCUUGUAGCAUCGCUGAGAACUCCGCAAGGAUUAAAAACCAACAAAAAAGGAUGCAAAUGGCUUACUAGAAGAGAUUUACUAGUGGCGGGGGGAUUCAGUGAAUCCACUAUCUACUCUGAAAGAAAGAUGCUCUUCCAACCUCUCCUCUGUUGACUGAAAUCCACAGAUGUCGGAGCCAGCCCUGUGCAGUGCGGAUAUAGCCCCCAAAAUACAAAAUACUGGAGUCCCUGUGGUAAGGACGCAAGCAGUAGCCAUCAGAGAUGCUUUGAAUAAUCAACGUUCCACUAACACAGAAGUAAGUGAACGAUAAGCAAUGUAAACACAUAAAGACAGCCAGAAAUUGAAAAAUAAGCGCAAACAAUGGGAAGCGAAAUAAGAAAAAAGAAAAGUAAAGAGAACUAAAGGAUUUGGGUUUCUUUCAGGCUAUUUUUAUGACUGUUUCUUGAAAUCUAGCUAUAUUUUUGAAAGGGAAGUGGGAGGGAAUUUACAUUGACUCCCUGUACUCCAGAUUUUUUUUUUUUUUUACUUCUCCAAUUUAACCCUGCACCACUGUGCUCAAACAAGGAAACUGAGGCUCCAGAAGCCAAACAGCUAGAAAAUGAUAGAGUUGGACUAAAACAAAGGGCUGUUUCUUGGAUUUGGAAGUUCAUCUUCUUUCCAUCAGAUCACAUUGAUAUACCUCUCAUGAGCUAGUUGUUUGAUGAUCAAAUGAGAUUUCAUUCUUGUGUUUACAUGGAUGGGAAGGGUAUGUAAAGAAACCAGUCAUGUGGGUCCUCUGAAUUCAUUUUGAAAUCUUUAAGCCUGCUUUGCUCUGUGAUUUUGCUUCACUAUUGGUCUUUGCACUGUUGAAAGCACAUGCAUUUCUUUCUAUCCAACAAGCGCAGUAAUAUUUAUUAACAUGCCUAUUUUCCAGUAAGCUAUUAGCACAUUUAAAGUAAAAACUUUAACGUCCUUUUCACUUAAUACCAAGUAGCAACUGAAGACUUAAAUGGGUUUGUUGUUUCUGCAUUCAGCCCACAAUGAUUGAUAUUUACCCUUUGGGAGCCACCUUUGCAACCAUGACUUAUGGUGUCAUCUUUCAUUAAGCAUUUAGGAAUAAGAUUUAGUAAUGAUUAUAUUUCAACAUUUUAAAUGAUUAAGACAAAUAUUGCUACUGUUUUGUUUCUAAAGAUUGAUGAAGAAUUUGAUAGUCAGUAUAUCACGCAGUCUGCAUAUAUAAAUGUAAUGUCCUUAAUAGACAAUAUUUGGUAUAAAAUUUAGUUCCAUGUUGAAG